GUGGGAACGUACCCUCUGGUUCGGAAUAACUCAGGGAAACUUGAGCUAAUACCGGAUACGCCCUUUUGGGGAAAGGCUUGCUGCCGGAGGAUCGGCCCGCGUCUGAUUAGCUAGUUGGUGAGGUAACGGCUCACCAAGGCGACGAUCAGUAGCUGGUCUGAGAGGAUGAUCAGCCACACUGGGACUGAGACACGGCCCAGACUCCUACGGGAGGCAGCAGUGGGGAAUAUUGGACAAUGGGCGCAAGCCUGAUCCAGCCAUGCCGCGUGAGUGAUGAAGGCCUUAGGGUUGUAAAGCUCUUUUAUCCGGGACGAUAAUGACGGUACCGGAGGAAUAAGCCCCGGCUAACUUCGUGCCAGCAGCCGCGGUAAUACGAAGGGGGCUAGCGUUGCUC
rnacentral:rRNA from 1 species